rnacentral:rRNA from 1 species
AGGAAAAGAAACUAACAAGGAUUCCCCUAGUAACUGCGAGUGAAGCGGGAAAAGCUCAAAUUUAAAAUCUGGCGGUCUCUGGCCGUCCGAGUUGUAAUCUAGAGAAGUAAUGCCCGUGCUGGACCGUGUAUAAGUCUCCUGGGAUGGGGCGUCAUAGAGGGUGAGAAUCCCGUCUUUGACACGGACUACCAGUGCAUUGUGGUAUGCUCUCAAAGAGUCGAGUUGUUUGGGAAUGCAGCUCAAAAUGGGUGGUAAAUUCCAUCUAAAGCUAAAUAUUGGCGAGAGACCGAUAGCGAACAAGUACCGUGAGGGAAAGAUGAAAAGAACUUUGGAAAGAGAGUUAAACAGUACGUGAAAUUGCUGAAAGGGAAACGCUUGAAGUCAGUCGCGUUGACCGGGGAUCAGCCUUGCUUUUGCAUGGUGUACUUUCUGGUUGACGGGUCAGCAUCAAUUUUGACCGCUGGAAAAAGACCUGGGGAAUGUGGCAGCUUCGGCUGUGUUAUAGCCCCUAGUCGCAUACAGUGGUUGGGAUUGAGGAACUCAGCACGCCGCAAGGCCGGGUUUCGACCACGUUCGUGCUUAGGAUGCUGGCAUAAUGGCUUUAAGCGACCCGUCUUGAAACACGGACCAAGGAGUCUAACAUGCCUGCGAGUAUUUGGGUGGAAAACCCAAGUGCGUAAUGAAAGUGAAAGUUGAGAUCCCUGUCGUGGGGAGCAUCGACGCCCGGACCAGAACUUUUGGGACGGAUCCGCGGUGGAGCAUGUAUGUUGGGACCCGAAAGAUGGUGAACUAUGCCUGAAUAGGGUGAAGCCAGAGGAAACUCUGGUGGAGGCUCGUAGCGAUUCUGACGUGCAAAUCGAUCGUCAAAUUUGGGUAUAGGGGCGAAAGACU